rnacentral:lncRNA from 1 species
GUGGCCUUUGUGCAGUGAAGCUGAGACUUUCUGGAUUGACUCCAAAUGAUCCUGACUUUCUGAGUCUUCAUGCACUAUUUCCUCUACAUCAUUAUCUCAUUAUUGGGCUCCUAAUGUUUAUUUGCAUUUCUCUUUUUUAGGGGAAGAAAGGGUGUGAUAUGUUUCCUCACCCAUCAUGAGGGUCACUGCCGAUACUCCUGUGACAAAAGACAGACAGGAAAUGGCACGUGCCACCUCUACUCAUAUUUAAUUCGUCAAAGAAGUCACAUGGUCAAGCAGUGAAGGGGCAGCAAAUGAUAGAGACAAUGAUGUCAUCUCCAAUGACUACAUGGAGCCCUAGUCGUUUGUUUCUGAAGAUAAAAGACCAAGAAGAGGUCAAAAAAAAGGAGGCUCGUAAAUGUAACUUUAAGCAGGUGAAAUAAAAG